AUGAACACCAUAGAUAAUUUUAAGCAUGGUGGUGGUACCACCGCCCGGGGGCAGCGGUACAACUGCUUGGUCAUGUACUGGGAUGUUCAACCCCAGGGUAUCACCCUUGAGAAAGACGGUACCGAGGAUAUCACCGACUUCCGCCCCAUAAGUUUUAUCCAUGUCAUUGCUAAGAUCAUUGACAAAUUGAUGUCCAACAGCCAUGCCCCUCACAUGAAUGACCUAGUCUCACAAGCUCAAAGUGCAUUCAUUAAAAGAAGGUGCAUCCAUGAUAAUUUCAUGUAUGUGCGCAACCUCGCGGCACGACUCCACUCCGCUACCAAAGUGGAGAUUGGUGAUGGCCUUCGUGCUUCUCUCUGGGAGUCAGCCUGGCUUGAGGGGCUAAGGCCCAAAGAUAUUGCUCCUAGCAUCUUCUUACUGUCUAUAAGAAAGGACUGCUCGGUCCAAAAGGCGAUUCACAACAACUUUUGGGCCUCCCGAAUUAGCAUCAACGUGGGCAUCUCCAUUAAUCAUCUAAUUGAGUUCGUCAAUCUAUUGGAAAAGCUCUCCCUCGUCCACCUCAACCCGGAUAGGGAUUUGAAUGUCAGACCAGCUGCAGCGACGAGGAUGCUUAGUUGCAGCUUUUGCCCCCUCUGUAAACAUGUCCAAGAAUCGGCGGCACACCGCCUCUUCCAAUGCAGAUACACAACUAGAGUUUGGGGUUUGAUCAAGGUUUGGCUUGGCCUUCAUGACGUGAACCUUCUGGAGUGGGGUCACAUGAACUCAGUUAAAUAUUGGUGGAGCCUCAGCGUGACCAGGAAGACGCAGUCCAAAAGGCCAUUCAUCUCCCUCAUGCUACUCAUUUCGUGUGAAAUAUGGAAGGAAAAGAACGCAAGGGUGGAGUUAUUGUCGCUGGGGAUCAAAGAAGAGUGUAAUUUGUGGUAUCUCGCUGGAGCAAAGCAUUUGGGCCAUUCAAUGUAUCAGAUUCCAGAGAAAAUUUGCAUCACAUCAAGAAGAAAAUUGAACAUGAAAAUGCUUGUGCAAGGAACCUUGCACAAGCUAGGCCAUCCCAUCAGGAAGACAAAUUACAAGAGAAAAAUUGCAGCAAGACCCUCUGCCCUAGCAAUAGCAUCAGCAGCAGGCCGACUGUUAACAGUACAACUACAACUAUGUCAACAACAGGCUGACAGUUCACAGUACAGGUACAACACCAUCCAUUGGGUCACAGAUGGUGAACGAUAUGACCCAGCAUCUCCAAUGUGGUUGAUUACGGCAGUCCAUUCCGUGCUUUCAGGCAAGAGGCCAUUCCAGUGA
rnacentral:rRNA from 1 species